GCCGGGCGCGGUGGCGCGUGCCUGUAGUCCCAACUACUCGGGAGGCUGAGGCUGGAGAAUCCCUUGAGUUCAGGAGUUCUGGGCUGUAGUGCGCUAUACCGAUCGGGUGUCCGCACUAAGUUCGGCAUCAAUAUGGUGACCUCCCGGGAGCGGGGGACCACCAGGUUGCUUAAGGAGGGGUGAACCGGCCCAGGUCGGAAACGGAGCAGGUCAAAACUCCCGUGCUGAUCAAUAGUGGGAUCGCGCCUGUGAAUAGCCACUGCACUCCAGCCUGGGCAACAUAAUGAGACCCUGCCUCUU
rnacentral:SRP_RNA from 1 species